rnacentral:rRNA from 1 species
AGGACGAACGCUGGCGGCGUGCUUAACACAUGCAAGUCGAACGGUGAAGCCUUCGGGUGGAUCAGUGGCGAACGGGUGAGUAACACGUGAGUAAUCUGCCCUUGACUCUGGGAUAACUUCGGGAAACCGGAGCUAAUACUGGAUAUGACACAUAAUCGCAUGGUUUGUGUGUGGAAAGAUUUAUUGGUCAGGGAUGAGCUCGCGGCCUAUCAGCUUGUUGGUGGGGUAAUGGCCUACCAAGGCGACGAC